CGAUCAGAAAGGAUUAAAACUCACUCUGCCUUCCUUUUUUAUUUAAUCAAUUUGAUUUUGUUCUUUUGUCCGGUACUUUUGGGGCUAUUUCGUCGUUCUUUCGCGAAUUCUUUUUUACAAUUGGCAUAAAGAAUAAACUUCGACGGAAAAGGUCUGGAAUGAAGUUCUCUAUUUUGACCACCCUUUGUGGGUUGUGCAAUAAAGGUUCCCAUCCUCCAAAAAUGGUAUAUAAGACUCUAGAGUCAUUCGCUACUGGGCGACAAUGCAUUCAAGGAUCCCAAACUACUUUCAAGUUUGAAAGAGAAAAGAAAAGGAUUUGUCUUUAAAGACAACUCAAUGUGAUGCGCAUUUACUCUGUACAUAGCUGAAACUAACCAUCCAAGGGUUGAGAAGCUUAGAAUAUGCAAUUUUGUAAAGAGUUAGAUCUCGGGAUCUCGAUGAAAACCUUUUAGUUUCUAGGUCUAUUCAGGUAUGUUGAACUUUGUAAUGUACCUUAUUUAAACAUCGCAAACUGACAACUCUGAUCCUUUCACUUGAUGGUUUGAAUUUCAUUUCUC